rnacentral:rRNA from 1 species
UAAGAGCACAUGGCGGAUGUCUUGGCGUCAAGAGGCGAUGAAGGACGUGGGAACCUGCGAAAAGUUCAGGGGAGCCGGUAACCAGGCUGUGAUCCUGAAAUGUCCGAAUGGGGAAACCCGGCCGUAAGGUCACUCUUACCUGAAUGCAUAGGGUAAGAGAGCGAACCUGGGGAACUGAAACAUCUAAGUACCCAGAGGAAAGGAAAUCAACCGAGACUCCGUGAGUAGCGGCGAGCGAAAGCGGAUUGCGACUUAAGUCAGUGAACGCGUUGGAAAGCGCGGCCAAAGAAGGUGAUAGCCCUGUAGUUGGAUGAUGUCGCUCAGCCCUAGAGUAGCGUCGGUGUCGUGAAACCCGGCGUGAACAUGGGGGGUCCACCCUCCAAGGCUAAGUACUACUUGACGACCGAUAGUUAACCAGUAAGGCGACUGAAUGAUGAAAACUACCCCUGCUAGGGGUGUGAAAGAGUAGCUGAAACCAUGUGCUUACACAGCGGUCAGAGCCCUUCGGGGUGAUGGCGUGCCUUUUGCAUAAUGACCCGGCGAGUUACUCUCAUUGGCGAGGUUAAGGCCUAGCGGGCCGAAGCCGAAGCGAAAGCGAGUCUGAAAUAGGCGUUGAGUCGAUGGGAGUAGACGCGAAACCUUGUGAUCUACCCAUGGGCAGGCUGAAGGCCGGGUAAAACCGGCUGGAGGGCCGAACGCACCAACGUUGAAAAGUUGGGCGAUGACCUGUGGGGAGGACUAAAAGUGUAAUCAAACUGGGAGAUAGCUCGUUCUCUCCGAAAUAUUUUUAGGAAUAGCCUCUUGCGGCAACUGUUGGGGGUAGAGCCACUGGAUACGGAUGGGGCCCUCGGGUACCCACUGUAACCAAACUCCGAAUACCAACAGCCAAGGCAAGGGAGUCAGCCCACGAGUGACAAUAUCCGUGGACAAAAGGGAAACAUCCCAGACCGCCAGCUAAGGUCCCUGAACAUUGCUUAGUUCUAAAGGAAGUCGAAGCGCAAAGACAGCCAGGAUGUUGGCUUAGAAGCAGCCAUCAUUUAAAGAAAGCGUAACAGCUCACUGGUCAAGCGUUCCUGCGCGGAAAAUGUAACGGGGCUUAAGUGAUACACCGAAGCUGCGGACUCAGAAAUGAGUGGUAGCGGAGCGUUCUGUAAGUCUGUGAAGGUGGCCUGCGAGGGCUGCUGGAGAUAUCAGAAGUGAGAAUGCUGACAUGAGUAGCGAUAAAGAGGGUGAGAGGCCCUCUCGCCGAAAGUCCAAGGGUUCCUGCGCAAUGCUAAUCAGCGCAGGGUAAGCCGGCCCCUAAGGCGAGGCCGAAAGGCGUAGUCGAUGGGAACCAGGUUAAUAUUCCUGGGCCAGCGGGUAGUGACGGAUUGCGGACGUUGUACACUCUUACUGGAUUGAGUGUGCAGCCAAGCCGUCCCUGGAAAUAGCUCCCGCAUGAGACCGUACCCCAAACCGACACAGGUGGUCAGGUAGAGAAUACCAAGGCGCUUGAGAGAACUCGGGUAAAGGAACUAGGCAAAAUGGUGCCGUAACUUCGGGAGAAGGCACGCUGGUGGUAAGUGAUACCCCUGCGGGUGGAGCUGAAGCCAGUCGAAGAUACCAGGCCCCUGCGACUGUUUAUUAAAAACACAGCACUGUGCAAACACGAAAGUGGACGUAUACGGUGUGACGCCUGCCCGGUGCCGGAAGGUUAAUUGAUGGGGUUAGCGCUUGCGCGAAGCUCUUGAUCGAAGCCCCGGUAAACGGCGGCCGUAACAAUAACGGUCCUAAGGUAGCGAAAUUCCUUGUCGGGUAAGUUCCGACCUGCACGAAUGGCGUAACGAUGGGGGCGCUGUCUCUACCCGAGACUCAGUGAAAUUGAAAUCGCCGUGAAGAUGCGGUGUAUCCGCGGCUAGACGGAAAGACCCCGUGAACCUUUACUAUAGCUUCACAGUGAACUUUGAGCAUGUUUGUGUAGGAUAGCUGGGAGGCUUUGAAGUGGGAACGCCAGUUCUCAUGGAGCCAACCUUGAAAUACCAGCCUGACAUGUUUGAGGUUCUAACUUGGUCCCCUUAUCGGGGAUGAGGACACUGUGUGGUGGGUAGUUUGACUGGGGCGGUCUCCUCCCAAAGCGUAACGGAGGAGCACAAAGGUGGGCUAAGCAUGGUCGGACAUCAUGCGGUUAGUGUAAUGGCACAAGCCCGCUUAACUGCGAGACAGACACGUCGAGCAGGUACGAAAGUAGGUCAUAGUGAUCCGGUGGUUCUGUAUGGAAGGGCCAUCGCUCAACGGAUAAAAGGUACUCCGGGGAUAACAGGCUGAUACCGCCCAAGAGUUCACAUCGACGGCGGUGUUUGGCACCUCGAUGUCGGCUCAUCACAUCCUGGGGCUGAAGCCGGUCCCAAGGGUAUGGCUGUUCGCCAUUUAAAGUGGUACGCGAGCUGGGUUUAGAACGUCGUGAGACAGUUCGGUCCCUAUCUGCCGUGGGUGUUGGAUACUUGAGAGGAGCUGUCCCUAGUACGAGAGGACCGGGAUGGACGUACCUCUGGUGGACCUGUUGUUACGCCAGUAGCAUAGCAGGGUAGCUAAGUACGGAACGGAUAACCGCUGAAAGCAUCUAAGCGGGAAGCCCCCCUCAAAACCAGGUAUCCCUAUCAGAGCCGUGGAAGACCACCACGUUGAUAGGCUGGAAGUGGAAGCGCAGCAAUGCGUGAAGCGGACCAGUACUAAUUGCUC